UAAUUGCUGUGCAGCUUCUCUCUGUGUAUUUGGACCGUUGUUAUUUGAAGCCAAAGAAUUUAAAGAUAAAGUUAAACCUUGUGGUAUUCAUACAUAAUUAAAUAAAUAAGAUUUUUUUUUAAAAAGUUACUGCUUAGUAAUAUCAUUGAAACACAUUAAAUAUUAAAAUUCGUUGACAUAAGAUCAGCUGUUUUCCAUUCAAUACUUAGCUUAGAACGUCAGAUUGCUUUUUAUUACAAUAACAUGGCUUUAAUAUAUUACGACAAAACUAUUAAAACUUCUUAUGAACUUAUAUUAAAUGGCUUGAAAGAGACAUCAAGAGCUACGUCUAUUCAUGAAUUGGUAAAUUAUGUUACUGUUAAAACCGACUUUCCAGGUAGCGUAUGCUAUCAAGUAAUCAGAAAAGCCUUAGAUAAAGGCCUGGCUUGCAAAACUAUACGACAACUUGGUGAUCUCUACAUGGCCAUUCCCUCGAAUAUGGAAAUCACGUUGAGCAUGUUAAAACACUUGAAUCGCUAAAUCUAACUACUAAAAGAGAAACCUGCGUAUAAUUAAAGGAUUGUGUUAGAUGUCGAUUGCAUAGGGGAAAUCAUCAUUAAUCCAUUAAACAUCGUUGUAAGAUCAGACUAUGUUUUUAUCGCAGCAAUAAACAGGUGUUCCAAGGUCAAGAUUCAUCUUUAUUCAAAAUAAUAAAA